UGGGGAAUAUUGCACAAUGGGGGAAACCCUGAUGCAGCGACGCCGCGUGAGCGAUGAAGGCUUUCGAGUCGUAAAGCUCUGUCCUAUGGGAAGAUAAUGACGGUACCAUAGAAGAAAGCCCCGGCUAAUUACGUGCCAGCAGCCGCGGUAAUACGUAAGGGGCGAGCGUUGUCCGGAAUUAUUGGGCGUAAAGAGUGCGUAGGCGGCAAAUUAAGUCAGAUGUGAAAACUAAGGGCUCAACCCAUAGAUUGCAUCUGAAACUGAUAUGCUUGAGUCAAGGAGAGGAAAGUGGAAUUCCUAGUGUAGCGGUGGAAUGCGUAGAUAUUAGGAGGAAUACCGGUGGAGAAGGCGACUUUCUGGACUUGAACUGACGCUGAGGCACGAAAGCGUGGGGAGCAAACAGG
rnacentral:rRNA from 1 species